AGAAUAGUGGCAUAGUGGUUUAAGAGUUGGAUUCUGACUCUGGAGACCAGGGUUCGAUUCCCACCUUGUCCG